GACGAACGCUGGCGGCGUGCUUAACACAUGCAAGUCGAACGGAAAGGCCCUGCUUUUGUGGGGUGCUCGAGUGGCGAACGGGUGCGUAACACGUGAGUAACCUGCCCUUGACUUUGGGAUAACUUCAGGAAACUGGGGCUAAUACCGGAUAGGAGCUCCUGCUGCAUGGUGGGGGUUGGAAAGUUUCGGCGGUUGGGGAUGGACUCGCGGCUUAUCAGCUUGUUGGUGGGGUAGUGGCUUACCAAGGCUUGGACGGGUAGCCGGCCUGAGAGGGUGACCGGCCACAUUGGGACUGAGAUAAGGCCCAGACUCCUACGGGAGGCAGCAGUGGGGAAUAUUGCACAAUGGGCGGAAGCCUGAUGCAGCAACGCCGCGUGCGGGAUGACGGCCUUCGGGUUGUAAACCGCUUUCGCCUGUGACGAAGCGUGAGUGACGGUAAUGGGUAAAGAAGCACCGGCUAACUACGUG
rnacentral:rRNA from 1 species